UACGGGGGGGGCAAGCGUUGCUCGGAAUCACUGGGCGUAAAGCGCACGUAGGCGGCUUUCUAAGUCAGGGGUGAAAUCCUGGAGCUCAACUCCAGAACUGCCUUUGAUACUGGGAAGCUUGAGUCCGGGAGAGGUGAGUGGAACUCCGAGUGUAGAGGUGAAAUUCGUAGAUAUUCGGAAGAACACCAGUGGCGAAGGCGGCUCACUGGCCCGGUACUGACGCUGAGGUGCGAAAGCGUGGGGAGCAAACAGG
rnacentral:rRNA from 1 species